AUACGGAGGGUGCAAGCGUUAAUCGGAAUUACUGGGCGUAAAGCGCACGUAGGCUGCUUUGUAAGUCAGGGGUGAAAUCCCACGGCUCAACCGUGGAACUGCCUUUGAUACUGCUUAGCUUGAAUCCGGGAGAGGGAGGCGGAAUUCCAGGUGUAGGAGGGAAAUCCGUAGAUAUCUGGAGGAACAUCAGUGGCGAAGGCGGCCACCUGGACCGGUAUUGACGCUGAGGUGCGAAAGCUUGGGGAGCAAACAGGAUUAGAUACCCUGGUAGUCCACGCUGUAAACGAUGGAUGCUAGAUGUCGGGGAGUACUCUUCGGUGUCGUAGUUAACGCGUUAAGCAUCCCGCCUGGGGAGUACGGUCGCAAGGCUGAAACUCAAAUGAAUUGACGGGG
rnacentral:rRNA from 1 species